UUUUUUUUUUUUUUUUUUUUUUUUUUAAAACUAUUUUUCAUAAAUAUAUUAAAUAAAUUACUUACACACGUCCCUGCUACUUGGUUCGUUCUGAGUUAUGUCACAUUAUCAAUUUACUCAAUAGAAAUAAUAAUAUACCUUUCUACUAAUUAUAUAUACAUGUACGUAUCGUAUGUAUGUAUGUAUGUAUAUACGGACAUACAUUCACAAACACAUGUCUAAACAUAUAUAACAAAAAGUAAAAUUUAUAAUUAUACACAUAUAGUUUUGUACAAACAACUGUUGACCCAUAUGUUAACAAAUUUUUGUAUACAUUUAUAUUGUUUCUGAGUAACAAAAAAAAAAAAAUAAAAAUAAAAUAAAAAAAAAAAAUUAUGCAUACUACCUAAGUUUAAAUUAACUAUAACAAACUUAAUAAAAAUAUAAAAAACAUGUCAUUAACAAAAGAAGAAGAACUUGAGGAAUUACACAAUAAAAUAAUUGACAAUACGAUAAAAAACUGUAGUGACUUUUAUAAUGUACGCAUCUUAGAGGCUAUAAAAAUUAGAUGGCAAAAAAUAUACAAAGAAAAAUUAAAAAAUAUCGAACAUAAUUUAAAACAAAAAAAUGAAGAAUCUAACAAAAACCAAACUAACAUAACUGCUAACAACUCUAAUGAUGAUGACGAUGACGAUGAGUUUGAGGAUGCUGAAGUUGAAGAAAAAAAAAUGGUCUCUUUUCCUGAACAAAUUGACGAUGGCGAUGAUAAUACAGAAGAAUUGAACGAGUUAGAUAACAUUUCCAUCAGUGACCUGAGUGAUGUAGACCCACCAACAGACAAUAUCAUAGUCGGUAUUUGUGAUAAAGUAAGAACGAAUGACAAUAAUAUUUACAAAAAGAAAUCUUUCGUUUAUACGAGCAAAAAUAAAAAAAAAAAAAAAAAAAAUAAACAAA
rnacentral:lncRNA from 1 species